UACAGAGGUCCCAAGCGUUGUUCGGAUUCACUGGGCGUAAAGGGUGCGUAGGCGGUCGGGUAAGUCUGAUGUGAAAUCUCACAGCUUAACUGUGAAACUGCAUUGGAUACUAUCCGGCUCGAGGAAUGGAGGGGAGACUGGAAUACUUGGUGUAGCAGUGAAAUGCGUAGAUAUCAAGUGGAACACCAGUGGCGAAGGCGAGCCUCUGGACAUUUCCUGACGCUGAGGCACGAAAGCCAGGGGAGCAAACAGG
rnacentral:rRNA from 1 species